ACGUAGGGUGCGAGCGUUAAUCGGAAUUACUGGGCGUAAAGCGUGCGCAGGCGGUUGUGUAAGUCAGAUGUGAAAUCCCCGGGCUCAACCUGGGAACUGCAUUUGAGACUGCACGGCUAGAGUGGAGCAGAGGGGGGUAGAAUUCCACGUGGAGCAGUGAAAUGCGUAGAGAUGUGGAGGAAGAACGAUGGCGAAGGCAGCAACCUGGGUUACUACUGACGCUCAUGCACGAAAGCGUGGGGAGCAAACAG
rnacentral:rRNA from 1 species